GAGGGUGUAGCUCGGUGGUGGAGUGCGUGCUUAGCAUGCACGAGGUCCUGGGUUCAACCCCCAGCACCUCCA
rnacentral:tRNA from 1 species